GACGAACGCUGGCGGCGUGCUUAACACAUGCAAGUCGAACGGAAAGGCCCUGCUUUUGUGGGGUGCUCGAGUGGCGAACGGGUGAGUAACACGUGAGUAACCUGCCCUUGACUGUGGGAUAACUUCAGGAAACUGGGGCUAAUGCCGGAUAGGAGCUCCUGCUGCAUGGGGGGGGUUGGAAAGUUUCGGCGGUUGGGGAUGGACUCGCGGUUUAUCAGCUUGUUGGGGGGGUAGUGGCUUACCAAGGCUUUGACGGGUAGCCGGCCUGAGAGGGUGACCGGCCACAUUGGGACUGAGAUACGGCCCAGACUCCUACGGGAGGCAGCAGUGGGGAAUAUUGCACAAUGGGCGGAAGCCUGAGGCAGCAACGCCGCGUGCGGGAUGACGGCCUUCGGGUUGUAAACCGCUUUCGCCUGUGACGAAGCGUGAGUGACGGUAAUGGGUAAAGAAGCACCGGCUAACUACGUG
rnacentral:rRNA from 1 species